rnacentral:lncRNA from 1 species
CAAGCCAUUGUAACUUAAGUCUUCCCUCCGAUAACUUAGAGGAAACGUGGCUUAGAUCCGUAUUUUAAAAGAUAGAAUUGAGACUUGUCCUGAUUGUGAUACUUGUAAAACAUCUCUGGGUUUAUAUGUGGGGUUUAGUUGUGUAAGACUCAUUCCUCGACCGUCGGGGCUUACGUUUCGGACACGGUUACUGUAUAGCGUACUGGACUCACAUAGAACUUUAUGCAAUUGUGUGUAAUUAACUUUGUAAAUUUUUAAAUUUUCUUAAUAGAUUGUUAAU